CGUAAUACAAUGGCGUAUACAAAGGGAUGCGAAAGGGCGACCUGGAGCAAAACUCACAAAGUACGUACUCAGUUCAGAUUGGAGUCUGCAACUCGACUCCAUGAAGGCGGAAUCGCUAGUAAUCGCGGAUCAGCAUGCCGCGGUGAAUACCGGUUCUCGGGGUUU
rnacentral:rRNA from 1 species